rnacentral:rRNA from 1 species
UACGAAGGGUGCAAACGUUGCUCGGAAUUACUGGGCGUAAAGGGCGCGUAGGCGGUUCGAUAAGUCAGCUGUGAAAACCAUGGGCUUAACUCAUGGCCUGCAGUUGAGACUGUCGGGCUGGAGUGUGGGAGAGGAGAGUGGAAUUCCUGGUGUAGCGGUGAAAUGCGUAGAUAUCAGGAGGAACACCGGUGGCGAAGGCGGCUCUCUGGACCACAACUGACGCUGAGGCACGAAAGCGUGGGGAGCAAACAGG